CUUGCUUAGUUGAUAUUAGGGAAACAUGAUAACAAUUGUUAAAAUAAAGUUGAUAUUGUCAGCCUGACCACGAAAUUCUGCUACUGUAAACAGUUUACUUAACCCAUUUGUGACUUGCUCUUCCCCCUGUGUUAACCUCCUGCAUCUGUGCUAUGUGACCACCUGCUGUAGAAUGCAUAGCCUCUACCUUUAAAAACCCAGCCCUGCGGUGGCUCAUUGCUGUUCUUUACCACCCCGAUGGUGGAGAGCAGAUGCUGUACACAGCUAAAUAAAGACUCCUAGCCCGAUUGACAGUGCUGGUGACUUUCUUGUCAUGGGUGCGAGUCCUGGGUGGCCAAGAUACUGCAGGUGCAUCCCAGAAAUG